rnacentral:rRNA from 1 species
UACGUAGGGUGCGAGCGUUGUCCGGAAUUAUUGGGCGUAAAGAGCUUGUAGGCGGUUUGUCGCGUCUGCCGUGAAAAUUCGAGGCUCAACCUCGAACUUGCGGUGGGUACGGGCAGACUAGAGUGUGGUAGGGGAGACUGGAAUUCCUGGUGUAGCGGUGAAAUGCGUAGAUAUCUGGAGGAACACCGGUGGCGAAGGCGGCAUCCUGGACAGGUACUGACGCUGAGACGCGAAAGCGUGGGGAGCGAACAGG